rnacentral:misc_RNA from 1 species
UGUACGAGCACGCCACACGCGUCAUCCCACUCCCUCGCCUCCCAUCAUCAGCCCUCCCCCCCUCCCCCAGAACAUUACCUCACACGCCUGCAGCACUGGCACAGGCGCACCUCGUUCAUAUUCCCCUCUCCACGAAUCAUGUCUGCCUUUGACUUCCGCAGCAGUCCCCACAAGCGCGGCGCCGCCGCCGUUCUUCUGCUGUUCGCCAUCGCCGCUGUAGCCCCCUUGACAGUGUCUGCACAGGCCAUCGACGACUACCCUCCUGUUGCCUGUGACAGCACAGUGCCCAACUGCCUGGAAUGCCGGAAAGUGGGGAUGUUAAGCCUGUGCUCGAACUGCAAGGAAGGCUACUCGACCGCUGUCUCACCCAUGACCCCCACCGAGUUCGGCAAGUGCAAGCCCUACGAUCCGAGCACAUGCCGCCUUGACAACUGUUUGCGCUGCGCCGCCGAUGACAACACCAAGUGCGUGCAGUGCCCUGUCGGCUACCCGAACAUCAACACUUACCUCUGCGAUGGGACCACGGCGGCCCCGACGACUGCGGCUCCGACAACGUCGGCCCCCUCCACCACCACCACCACCACCACGGCGUCCCCGACAACUGCGGCCCCCACAACUGCAGCCCCGACCACCACCACCACCACUACCACCACGGCGGUCCCGACAACUGCAGCUCCGACAACCUCAGCCCCCUCCACCGACUGCCAGGCCCCGUCGUGCGCCAUCUGUGUGCCCGGCAACCAGUACACUUGCGCCGUGUGCGAGUCCGGCAUGGUGCUGAUGGCGUCCGGCCAGUGCAUGGCCGCUGGCUCCUGCAGCAUGACCAACUGCGCGCAGUGCUACCCGAACGACAGCAACCGCUGCUCCUCGUGCGAACCCGGCUACGCCCUCACCGUCUCGUACACCUGCAUCCCGCGCAAGUCAGGCAACUCGGCGGCUGCGCCGACGCCGGUGUUGGCGGCGCUGGUCAUAGUGGCGGUUGCAGCGACCGUGGCGUAUGUCAUGUAGGGGUGCAGUGAAGUUGUGACGGGCCGCAAUCGAUGUAGCACGCACAAGACUCAGACACACACACAGGCACACAGACGUGCCUGUGAACCUCCCUCCAAUCAUUUCCAGCCCUAACCCCCGGCAAAGGUCUCUUGUUUGUUUCACUCUCUCUCGGCAUCUAGACGCUCUCUCUUCCUGCCUGCCUGCCUUCGUGCACGCCUGCCAUCCACGGUUCCCACGCGCACCCACACCCUCCUCCUCCUCCCUGCCUAUUAUGUGUAUAAUGCCCCCCCCCUCUCUACUCCUCACGCCCUCGCGUGCUCGCACGCACACCUCCAGUCACAGGAAAGGUAUGCAGACUAUGGGGCGUAUAAAUUCAUUCUUGCGUGUAUUCUCUUACUCGUGUGUGUGCGUGUCUUCAUGCGCAGGCGGGUGUGCUUCACUCCGUUUCGCGAUGGUGAUCGCUGCUGUCGUUGCCCCCCCCCUCUCUUCCCCUCCCUCUCCUCCCUCCACACACCUUUUCCUUCCUUGGAUGCUCCUCUCUUCGUCACGGCGCCCCUGCCCACGCGCCUCGCCGCCCUACCAUCGUCGACCGAACCAGGCGCACAGACAUACGCAUCUACCCACCCACCCUCACACAGACGCACACAACCACGCCUCGAUGAAGAGACGGUGCACAUGUCUGUACAUGUUGUAUUGCGUAUUGCGUGCACGUGAGCGUGUGUUCGUGCGUGGAUGGGCUUCGCUCUCUCUUCGGUAAGGGUGGGCGGAGGACGGCGGGACAAACAAGACGGCGCCAGCGGGUGAGGUAUGCCUCUAACAGUGAAACAAAGGAAAACAUGCAAGCUGCGGCGGUGACGACGCGUGGGCGUGUGGGUGUGGGUGGUGACGCGGAGAGCAGGAGGUAAUUCUGGGAUGGACACGUGGAGAGCACCUAAAGCGUAUAUGCAUGUUUAUACGUGUGAACACUCACAGGGAAAGACUGGAGUAGGCCUUCCUGUAUUCUCUCCUCACCCUCUGUCUGUCUGACUGUCUGUUCGAGGAUGUGUAUGGGUGUGUACGUGUUCUGCAGUAGAUAACCCGAUGAAAGGGCAGGGCCCACUGUGCAUGGAUGGACAGAUUCGUUGUUGUUGGGGAUCGACGAAAAGGAGUGUGCGUGCGUGCAACAUGGGGGUGCGUAGUCGAGUGAUGUGGUGCUUGAACGCCGCCCUUCUCCCGCCACCACUCUCCCUCGAGCGUUGCACGUCGGCAACGCCCCACACUCACCUACCCCUACUCGACCUGCUCGCCCACUCUGCGCAUGGCCCUCUCUCUCUGGCAUAUGCAGGCACAUCCUCGCCCUCCCCUUUCCCCUCCUUGUGCAAAGCCUCGCAUCUUUUCUUUUCCCGUCGUCGUGCCAGGGUAUGUCUAUGCCCGUGCACGCGUUAUGGAGAGGGGGAGGGGGUGGGGCGGUGUAAUCUCUCUCUCAUUCUGCUUUGGUAUCCCUGCAUCUCGGUGCUCCUCUCUUCUAAUAGGUUGGCCUUCGCCUCUUCCACCCUUCCCCCACCCCCCCACCACCACCACCACCUACCUCUGAAUGCUCACUGACACGCCACCGCUCACUCCCUUCUCCCACCCCCACCCCGUCAUCAUUGCUCGGGGUUGUGGCAGUAGGCGGCUCGAUGAAGGCGUGGCUGCAAGCAUUACCUACUCCCUUGUCUUCUCACUACUCCUAUCACCUUGUGCGUGUGUGUGUGUGUGCUCUCCUAACCUUCCAAAAAGAAACGCCUUGAAAGGCAGCAGCGGCGGGCGGGCCCGCACGCGACAUCGCAUUCAUGGAUUCAUCCUUAUGGUCUUCUCUUGCUUUCACGCACAUCCUCACCCCCUCCUCCUCCCGAGCCGCCACCACCUCCGCCAUGACGAAAAAUGUGCUUAGCAACACCGUACCUUGUCAUGGCGCUCCCUUCUUCCUCUUCCUUUUCUCAUCCUCUCUUGUGUGGGUGUUGUCGCUUUCUACCUUGCUCAAUUGAACAACGAAUAGCAGGUCACAGUGAUGAUGUGCGUCUGUCUGUGUGUGUGGGGGGAGGGGGUUGAGCGAGUGAGGGGGGUACAUGUCCACCCAUCCCCCCGCCUUCCUUCCCUCCACUCCCUUCUUCUCUCCGUCUGUGUCGUUGAUGAUGUGCCACUUCGCACGAAGCCGAGGACACACACGCACACACGCAGAGAGACGUUUAUUCUCUCUCUUUGGACAGACAGACAAG